AAACUUAAGGAAUUGACGGGGCCGCACAAGCGGUGGAGCAUGUGGUUUAAUUCGACGCAACGCGAAGAACCUUACCAGGGCUUGACAUCCCCUGACCGCGUAUGAAAGUACGUUUUCACCCUCGGGUGACAGGGAGACAGGUGGUGCAUGGUUGUCGUCAGCUCGUGUCGUGAGAUGUUGGGUUAAGUCCCGCAACGAGCGCAACCCCUACGUUUAGUUGCUAACGCGUGAAGGCGAGCACUCUAGACGAACUGCCGUUGACAAAACGGAGGAAGGUGGGAUGACGUCAAAUCAUCAUGCCCCUUAUGUUCUGGGCUACACACGUGCUACAAUGGCCGGUACAGACGGACGCAAAGCCGCGAGGUGGAGCAAAUCCUAAAAAGCCGGUCUCAGUUCGGAUUGCAGGCUGCAAUUCGCCUGCAUGAAGUCGGAAUCGCUAGUAAUCGCAGGUCAGCAUACUGCGGUGAAUACGUUCCCGGGCCUU
rnacentral:rRNA from 1 species